rnacentral:rRNA from 1 species
CCUACGGGCGGCAGCAGUGAGGAAUAUUGGUCAAUGGGCGUAAGCCUGAACCAGCCAAGUCGCGUGAGGGAUGACGGUCCUAUGGAUUGUAAACCUCUUUUAUCAGGGAAUAAAGUGCGCCACGUGUGGCGUUUUGUAUGUACCUUAAGAAAAAGCAUCGGCUAACUCCGUGCCAGCAGCCGCGGUAAUACGGAGGAUCCGAGCGUUAUCCGGAUUUAUUGGGUUUAAAGGGUGCGUAGGCGGACUUUAAAGUCAGCGGGAAAAUUCUGGGGCUAAACCCAGAAGUGCCGUUGAAACUGGCAGUCUGGAGUAGGCGAGAGGUAGGCGGAAUGCGUGGUGUAGCGGUGAAAUGCAUAGAUAUCACGCAGAACUCCGAUUGCGAAGGCAGCAUACCGGGGCAUGACUGACGCUGAUGCACGAAAGCGUGGGUAUCGAACAGGAUUAGAUACCCGAGUAGUC